UUGAAAUAAAAAGAAAAAAAGUUAGAUAGAGAGAGAGAGAGAGAGAGAGAGAGAGAGAGAGAGAGAAGCUAAUGCCGCGUUUUGGCUAAUAAAAGAAAAAAAAAAAAAAAAAAAAAAAUUGUACUUUAUCUAUUUGUUACACGGAUAUAUAGGAACGCGCGAGUGACUCGAUUGAUUUUUCAGAAAAUCGUGCCAAAAUUCUAGCUCUCUGUUUUUUGCAAGCGUUCACACUUGCGUUGAUGUUUGCUUCGGACAAUUUAUAAAUCGCGUUCACUUUUUUAUAUACGUUUAUUGUAUAGAGGUACGACAAUACACGCCCGUGCGUAACGUAAAUGCACGUGCUCGCUCAUUAAUUAAACGCGAUCGAGUUAAUAAGAGACGACGGAUAAUCGCGUGAAACGAACUAAUUACAGAGUAUAUGGUUUAAAUUGACGCAAUUUAUUUGAAAGGAUUGUAUAUUUGUUACUUUCGACGAAUAAAAUAUUCUUGUAUACCUCAGGCAUUCGAAAAAAAGAAAAAAAAGAAAAACAAACAAAAAAGAAAAUAUCGAUUAAUCGAUACACUAUAUCUCUUACCUCGUCCCCGUAUUCCCUAAAAAAAAUCGUAUUUUCUUUUCUUUUUUCUUUUCUUUCCUUUCUUUUUUCUUUUUUUUUUUUUUUUUUUACUUUUUUCUAUUUUCUUUUUUCUUCCUUUUUCUUUUUUCUUUUCCGAAUGAAACAACUAAAACAUCUGUAUCCGUAAAUCCUUCGAACAUCACGACACGCUUCACGGGCUUAAAUAAAUUAAGACUAAUGCGAUACGAGUGAUCCUUAAUCCCUAAAACUACGUCAGGAAACAUCUACUACUACUACUAUUACUACUACUAUUACUACUACUAAUACGUGCAACGAGAAGUUGGCUUUGAGCCCAUCAUUGGUUACGACAUGAAAAUAGUCGAUUCCCGAGAUUUUCCUUCCAGCAAAUUCCUAUUUUCUCUCUUCGUUCAUGAUUAUCAAGAUAACGUCUACGUGCCAAUUAUCUGUACUCAUUUUGAUCCUUUUUUUCUUUUUUUUUUAUGUCCUCUCCAGUUUUAACCGAUGAAAUUUCAAGCGGAAUCGUGGAAAAGGGAGUAUCACGAAAACGAAUUUAAUAAAAGACCUAAUCGAAAAACGGGACGAUAUAUAUAUACAUAGAGAGAGAGAGAGAGAGAGAGAGUCGACAACACUUAUCGACACUUUGCCAAUAAUUUUUCGUCCAACUUCGAAGGUAGUAGCUAAGGCCAGCUACGACAUACUAUAUAUUACUCCGACUCUAUCUUGUCUCCGUACUUUCUCCUUCCCCCUUCCUUUCCUCAUCGUUUCAUCUAUCUCCUGCAGCAGGUUCAAGGAAGCUGCAGAAACGUUUCUCGAUUUUUCUUGAAGGAAAGUAGGUACUACGUACCUUAACGGAAGCCUCGAAGACGGAGAAGAUGGGUGACAAUGGACGUCGAGCGUUGCAAUUUUGAAAUGUCGAUACCAGUCGGGCGUGUACUUCUCUUUUUCUUCUUCUUCUUCUUCUUCUUCUUCUUCUUCUUCUUCUUCUUCUUCUUCUUCUCCUUCUUCUUCUUCUUCUUCUUCUUUUUCUCCACCCACGAUUCUUCCCUCGAGCUUUUUCGCAACAGCCUUUUUCAACAUCUAUACGAUGUCGACGUAAUUCGCUUACCGUAGAGUCCCGCGUAGGUACUCGACAACUUUUCCUUUUUAUCCACGCCUCAAGGCGUUAGAUCGUCGACGAUCUUCCUGACUCUCUUUCUCUGUGUUAUAUUCUACGAAUAUCUCGUAACAUCCGUAAGAAUCAAGGUAAAUAUAAGCUCGUCUUUACUUCACGCGUUUUCUUACUUCUACACGUUCGAAAGAAAAAAAAGAGAAAGAAGAGAGAGAGAGAGAGAGAGAGAAAGAAAGAAAGAAAAAAAAGAAACACCGACAACCGACUCUGAAUGACUUUAAACCUCCGUUGCCGUGUGUUGAAUUCCAUAUCAGUAAAAGCUGGCUAGUCGUUACAAAGUUUCCGAGUCAUAAAUUUUCCUUAGAGUAUAACGUCGCGCAGGUUAAUUCGCCAUGUUCUAGAGAACUUAACUCUCUUAGGAUUUUCAGUUCUCUCACGAGCAGUACGAUGAUAUUACUUUUGUUGAAAAUCGUUGAAAAUCGAUAUUGCGUCCCGUAAUCCUAUCUUUAGAAAAGGAAAAAAAAAGAAAAAAAAAAAAAACAAAAAGAAAACCGAAACAAAAGCAAAAAGAAAAAGAAACAAGGAAGAAAAAAAGAAAAAGAAGUUCAACGCUUGGAAUUCCAUGGAGAUUUAUAAAUACAACCUAUGAUCUUCGUACGGCGAAGAUGAUGAUAAUGAUGAUGAUGAUGAUGAUGAUGAUGAUGAGAAGUUCGUCCUGCCGCUAGUUACAUUAAGUGUAAAGCGCGAAGGGGUGGAAAACAAAACAAAACAAAACAAAACAAAGGAGAGAAAGAGAGGAAGAAAGAGAGAGAGAGAGAGCAAAUUCUAUCCACAAUGAGAAAGAUGAAAGAAAAGUAUUCUAUUGUAUCUUCCGUAAGGCUCGUUUAAUUCGUUAAAAUCUAAAAGGUUUAUUAUUCGAAAUUUCCAGGAUUAAUACGAAUACGUGUGCAAAAGGUAAAGUUAAGAGUUACGUUAUGAUGUAGAAUAAUUAUUAACAUUUUAAUUGCCCUUUAACAGUUUUCAACGCGCUCGCGUACAUGUUUAUUUUAUUGGCCGUUUACACCCAACGGCGUUUACGUUACGAUCGUUAAAAUCUAUACAAGCGUGGGUGUCAAAUAACCCAACAGAGUUCACUCAUGUAAUCUUUACAUUCUACAUAUUCCGAUCGUAAGGCUAUCGUUCGAAAUCGAAUAAAACCUUGUCGAUCCUUUCCAGUCUAUUUAGCUUCAUUCCAUUUCUUCCUCAUCUUAGACAUUUUUUUUUCUUUCGAUAUCACGUGACUGGAUAUAUACGGGUGUUAUCCUUUAAGCGUACAAAAGAAUAGAAAGACAGGAAGACAUGAGAUAUGCCAUACAUGAAUUACGAUCACGAUUGUUGUUCGCCUUAUGUGUGCGUUCUAUGCCCUCGUUCGUACGGUUAACGACUCAUUGGCGUGUCCCUUAGAUCGUCGAAAGAUCUACAGAAGCUCUCAUAUCGAUUUUCUACGGUGAUUUUAACGCGUCUUCCUUUUUAACCCACUUUCCCCUCUUCCCGUCCGUUCGCACACACUUCCAUUCCCACCCUAUCCAAUCAAUUCGUACGUAUAACGACGAAUCUCGUACAACUUUCUUCUCGGCGUAAUUGAAAGAUAAGAUCGAACGGAGAUAAAGAUUUAAUUGGGAAUACGCCGAUAGAUCGAAAUAGAGAUCUUGUUUUAUUCUACUAAAUACGUUUCGUGUAAUUAAUUCGACUUAAGCUCGCCUAAGUCCAUCACGUUUAAAUAGCUAUCUCAUGUAUUCGUGCAUGUAUAUAUGUAUGUAUAUACGCAUGUACACAUAUGUAUGUAUCUAUCUAUGUAUGUAUGUAUGUAUGUAGGAGAAAUGUGAGAUCAUCUUUCUUCGUUCAUGACGUUAAUUAACUAUGUCUCUACGUAUCUGCAUUUCUUUCGGGUUAAUUUAUACUUUUUCUUGUUUCCCCGUCUCUUGCUCGAUACAAAUAAAAGAAAAAUAAAAAAAAAAAAAAUAAAAAAAUAAGAAAAAAGAAAAAAAA